GACGAACGCUGGCGGCGUGCUUAACACAUGCAAGUCGAGCGACGCUCUUCCUUCGGGGAGAUGACGGAGCGGCGAACGGGUGAGUAACACGUGGGCAACCUGCCCCUAGCUCUGGGACAACACCGGGAAACCGGUGCUAAUACCGGAUACGACAUCGAGCGGCAUCUCUCGAUGUGGAAAGUUUUUUCGGCUAGGGAUGGGCCCGCGGCCUAUCAGCUUGUUGGUGGGUUAAUGGCCCACCAAGGCGACGACGGGUAGCCGGCCUGAGAGGGCGACCGGCCACACUGGGACUGAGACACGGCCCAGACUCCUACGGGAGGCAGCAGUGGGGAAUAUUGCGCAAUGGGCGAAAGCCUGACGCAGCGACGCCGCGUGAGGGAUGACGGCCUUCGGGUUGUAAACCUCUUUCAGCAGGGACGAAUUCAGACGGUACCUGCAGAAGAAGCACCGGCCAACUACGUG
rnacentral:rRNA from 1 species